ensembl:lncRNA
UGUUGUGACAUCAGCACCACUAAUCAGCAUAUGUGCCUUUAACGCUGCACAAUUCAAACCGCGCCAAACAUGGCAGACAGUAACGUUAGUCGAGCUCCACAAAUAGUAUCGUUUGGAUACAAGGACUUUGAACUGGACCGAGUGAAUAAAAAAAGAUUUGCCAGACGCAAAAUAUGCAACAACGUCAAAUUUCAUUCGUCAUUUUAAGAACCACAAGGAAAGGUAAGAAAGUAAUCUCUUUAUAUUCAGUUUCACUAAGAUCUAUAACGAUUAAGUUACUAACCCAGAUAGCAAAAAAUAUCCCCAUGGCUUCUGUUUGCCGCCGGCCCUAAGCAGUCGGCUAUAGGUGCGUCCUGCUGGCGGGGAUGAAACGUUUGCCGCCGAUUACGUCACUCCCAUUUCUUGCAAGAUUUCUUGACUGCUUAAUUUUCUCUGGCGGUUGCCUGGGUCUAAAGGACCGCGGUCGUCCGGCGGCAAGACGCUUUUAAAUACAAGGCUACUCUCAAAAUCGACCGGCCAUGUUGGUUUGGACACUCAUUUGCAUCAGUUUGUCGCUCAAUCGCGAGUUACAGCCUGCAGUUUGCUAGCUAGCAAAGUCAUCGACUACCAUCGUUUAAGUAAGUACAUGUUUCCUUUUUGUGUAACGCAAUAUUAUGUUUACAUUGUUUUUAGUUUAUAUAUUGAAAAUGUGUAGUCAUCUUUGUUCUUGCCUAACUAGCUACGCAAUUGUUCUUGCCUUGUUUACGCAAUGUUGUUAGUACAUGUAGAAUUUUAAUGAGCUAUAAUAGGUAGCAAAAGCUUUACAUCUAGAAAGACUAAGUUUACCUUUUAGUGUUUUCUUACAAAAAUAACGAUGUAUUUAUGUUUUUUAAAUUAUUUUGUUUGCCUGCACAAGUAUGCUGCUAGUCCAGUAGCUAGAGUGGCUAGUAAGUGUUAGCUAGCACAUGCUGUUUUGCCUUUGUUACAGUACACACUGUGGUUAGCAAGUUUUGUGCUGUGUUGCUACUGUACUGGAUUUAAGGCGAUUAUGGUUUCUAAUUCUCUGAACUGCUGUACUUUUUAUGUUUGAGGAAAAUUCUGUGUUCACUUGAAUCACAACACUCGGUGAAUACAUUUUAUUUUUAACAAUUUCACUGUUCCACAUUUGGCUGAUAAUGUUUCCCCCCCACAGCAUAGUUACUGUAUAUUCCUAACGUUAACAAUCCGGUUUUGUUUCUGUUUUCUUGCAGAUACCUUGGCCAGAGCAUAACCGGUUAUCUUCACCCAAGUGACCUAUUGUUGGUCAAUCGUUUUGGUUUUAAAGAAGUUGCAUCGAUUCCAGAAAACCAGGAAAAUGUUGAGCCAUCUGUAGACUUCAGAGCUGAACCAGGUUUCUCCCCAGUAAUCCAGACUCCACUUCACAGAGCCAAGAGUUUGAGUACAACUCGUCAAGUACUAAGCUUUACACCCCCAGCAGCAAAUUUACCCUGGCAGCAUAUGGGUGUAAACGCUGGAGAGGAGAAAGUCAUCGCUUUGUUAUUGGCCCUUGGACGCCCCUGGCAUCUCGUGUACAGCACAAAGUUUUCAGCUAUGAAGAUUUCCAGUGACUCCAGAAUGAAAACCAAGCUCUGAGGGAGGAGAACCAAGCCCUGAGGGAAUGCAAUGCACAAGCGAGAAUGUGCACUCUUUCUUAAAUUGUACUUUUUUGUGUGUAAUGUAGGUUCAGAAUUACCAUAUGCCUUUGAUUUAGUAGCUUCGGGUUGACAGCGGCUCACUUCAAGAGCAGGUGAAGCAAGUAGGGACAAUGUUGAAGACGUUUGCUCUAACUGGGCAAUCAGGUGCGUUACCUGAAAGGAGCAUCUGACCGUGAAGGCAGAAAAAGCCGCACAGCUGAGAGGGACCCACAGCCGACCCCUUAAACCUAGGCUAACUACUGACACCCCAGCAUCACUGAACUGGAACACUUUCUUUAUCCUGCAGUCAGUAACAUCAAGAAGCCAGAAGUGCCAGACUACACUCACCAAAUCCACCCUUUUUUUUUUUUUUGUAUUUUAACUUUAGUAUUGGCUUAUUUCAUUCCGUCUUAACGAUUCUAUUAUAGUUUGUAAAUCCUAUUUCUUACCUGUUACUUGAUAUUGCACAUUAACUAGUACUAAAAUUCUACCUUCAUUUCAUCAGUGUGCUUAACUGUUAUUCCAUUAAUAAUAGCUUGGAAAUACUAUUUACUACCUCUGAUACUUGAUAUUGCACAUUACCUGGUACCAAAUAUUCUACUUACUCUGUUUUUAACAUCAGCGUUUUUCAUUCCAUCACAGUGCUUAACUGUUAUUCUAUUGUUAAAUAUAGCUUGUAAAUCCUUGUGCCACAGGUCAGCAUUGCAGUUAUAAUGGUCUGUUCUACUACUGUUUUUACCUCUGUAUUUUUAUAUAAAUAUAUAUGUCAAGUUUUGUUUAUCACAGAUACAAGAGAUACAGAUCUUAUUGCAGCACGGUGUAAAUCUUGUGCUCCAGGUCAGCAAUGCUAUUAUAACGGUCUAUUCUACUCUAGAGCUUUACUCUAAAUUAUUACCACUUUUCCUAUUGUUAGAAAUGGCUUGAAAAUGUGAUGUUAUACCUUGAUUUAUUUGGUAUCCUGCACAUUCUUUGGUACCAAAUAUCCUCAUUACUUAUGUUUACUGGUAAUUAUUUUCAUCCCAUAGCACGUCAGAAACAGAGGACAGUGUGUGUGUGUGUGUGUGUGUGUGUGUGUGUGUGUGUUCAUCUCUUUAGUACUGUGACUUGAAACUUAUUAUGACUCAACUUGACUUGCUUAGGGUGAACACUUGACUUGCUUGAUUUAUCUGAACUGUGCCUUGAGACUUGACUCGAGACUUGAUGGUUAAGACUUGAGACUUGCUUGGACUUGACCAUGUGUGACUUGUCCCCAUCUCUGUAAAUCGCUCAAUUCUUAUGAUUAUUCCUAGGAAGUGAGUAGAUACUAGUAAGCCUAUUACUGGCUAAAAGCUGUUAAAACAGCCAGUGCCAAAAGCAAUAAUGAAUGUCAUUCAUAAAUGAACGAAAAAGGUAUGUUGUUUUGCCAUGAAAGAAAAAAAUAUGUUCUUAUGCCAUGAAAUUAAAUAGCUUUGUCAGACUUGCUAACAAUUGCUCCAUUCUUAUGACUAUUCCAGUAAGUUAUUCCUUUCACCUGUGUUUACCCCCCACCGGUUUCUGUUCUCCUUAUUAGCCUGUGUAUUUAGUUCAGCCAUUUUCUCCCUGUCCCUGUCGGUCAUUGUGCGUGUCAUGUUUUAUGUGUUCCUGAACUCCUGACUCCUGAAGUAUUUCGUAGUGGCCGGCACUCCGUUUUGAUUUCUUUGCUUUUGUUUAUUUAAAAGAAAUGCCUCAAUUCUGUGCCUGCCUUCGUCUCCCUCUAUGAAUCGUGACACCGGUAAAGCUUAUUACUGGCUAAUACGCUGUUCAAAUGGCCAUUUGCAAAUGCAAUACAUAGUAAGAAACGUUAGUCAGUUUAACUGUAUCAAUGUCACAGAAUUGUGCAUAAUCCUUUACGGCAGAGCUGUGUGUCCUGACAUGUGUGUAUACCAAUACUUAGUUUGUGUCAGUAUAACGCUGAGUGUCGUGCAGGUGUAGUUUUGGCCAAUGAAAGAAACAAUCAGUUCAGUAGAUUUGUAGUAUCUUUUCAAAUAAAUGUUGAAUCAGUAUGAUUCAUGCUAGAAUGCAUAAAAUAAACAUUGUUAUAACGAUUUUCAUGUAUG